CCUACGAGAGGCUGCAGUGAGGAAUAUUGGUCAAUGGUCGGGAGACUGAACCAGCCAAGCCGCGUGAGGGAUGAAGGUACAGAGUAUCGUAAACCUCUUUUGUCAGGGAACAAAGGCGGGGACGUGUCCCCGGAUGAGUGUACCUGAAGAAAAAGCAUCGGCUAACCCCGUGCCAGCAGCCGCGGUAAUACGGAGGAUGCGAGCGUUACCCGGAUUUAUUGGGUUUAAAGGGUGCGCAGGCGGUAUGGUAAGUCAGCGGGAAAAGCCCGGGGCCCACCCCCGGCCCGCCGUUGAAACUGGCAGUCUCGAGUUGGAGAGAGGUAUGCGGAAUGCGCGGUGUAGCGGUGAAAUGCAUAGAUAUCGCGCAGAACUCCGAUUGCGAAGGCAGCAUGCCGGCUCCACACUGACGCUGAGGCACGAAAGCGUGGGUAUCGAACAGGAUUAGAUACCCUGGUAGUC
rnacentral:rRNA from 1 species